UGGGAAACUCGGCACACUUGAUUUUGUGCCAAACGUGCCGGUGAUGUGCCGAAGUGUGCCGGCGUGCUGGCAGUUAUGCUGUCAGUUGAUUCAGUACAUUUUAUGCAUCUGGCAACCUUUCUCUUGUUUUGAUUUCGCUUUGAUGUGUUCCUGAUUCUUCGUAAUCAUAACCAAAAAAUUCGCUGAUUCGGCAGCGGCCUGUGAACUGAGAAAUUUGCGGGAGCUCGAUGGCCAAAUCUAUCCUAGAACGCACUAGAACAGAACAUUGACUAAAACGCCAAAUUUUAGAUCAUCAUUACUUGUCUUUGCCCUAAUCAUGCAUUUCAUCCAAAAUUCUUCUGCGAAACCAUCGCAGAUCUGUUAUUUCAAAGGAUUUGCAACUUCGUUUUUCGGGUUACAAAACAUUCGAUGUCUUCGGAAUGCAUUUGAAACGGUCUGAACCCCCGUCAUGCUUGAAAUUCAGUAUGAAAUUAAAGAAUAUGCUCGAGAAUAUGAGAGUUAGACUUAGAAUCCUGCCUGGAAUUAGAUUGCAAUUGCAACAGCCGGAACAGUUGCAUUUUUUAAUCAGUGUUACAAGUUGUCUUCAUUAUUUUGUUUCUUCUCCAGCAAAAAAAAAAAACGCACAAAAAGUGUUGCCAGUUUUAUGACAGCUAGCUCCAUUAAUGUGGCGGUGAGUGUGCCGAAAGUGUGCCGGGCACUUUGUGCCGAGUUUCCCACCCCCUGAGUGCGUUCUAGGAUAGAUUUGGCCAUCGAGCUCCCGCAAAUUUCUCAGUUCACAGGCCGCUGCCGAAUCAGCGAAUUUUUUGGUUAUGAUUACGAAGAAUCAGGAACACAUCAAAGCGAAAUCAAAACAAGAGAAAGGUUGCCAGAUGCAUAAAAUGUACUGAAUCAACUGACAGCAUAACUGCCAGCACGCCGGCACACUUCGGCACAUCACCGGCACGUUUGGCACAAAAUCAAGUGUGCCGAGUUUCCCACCCCCUGAUCGGGAUGCUGUUUUUACUCUAAGGACUUAUGCAAAUAUUAUAACUACCAACCGCCAUUGAUUCAUAGUGGAUCUGUUUCUUCUGAGGAUGUUUUUUCGUGAUUUUCUUUAUUUCGUCACAGGAAUGAUCAAAUUCCUGCACCUGAAUGGACCCGGAAAACUUGGAACGGCGGAGGAACUUUGACCAACCGAAAUACGUUUAUUCUAUUUUCCAUCUCGUCACCACCGGAAAGCCACAUUUAUACAGUGUUAGCCAACAAACUGAUCCACAAAACAUGGAGCAACGUACAACGGUGGAGGAAUCUCGGAAGACGCUUCUGGUGCACCUACUCGUCGCUUUUAUGAAUAUCUCCAGCUAAUAUAGUUUCGUGUUAGAUUUAUUGUAUAUUAUUAAGGGUUAAGCCAAUAAAAUUGUUAUGUAUUUUGUAUUCUUCAACUGAAAUUAUUGCAUUUUUCUUAUUUAUCGCAAUUGAAAAAAAAAAAAACAAAAACAAAUUGAAAUAUGCAUCGACAAAUAUAUUUGACAUAUGCAUUCCAAUGCAAAACACCAAUAUAUGCAUUGAAUGAAUAACCACAAAAAUAUGCAUUCCAAAGGGUGGGCAGAUCGAAUAUGGUUUUAGUAAGGAUUUUAUGCAUUUUAGCAUUUUCCAAUC